ensembl:lncRNA
UUUUUUCAGACAGAUUUUAUUCUGCAUUUUCUAGAGACAUUAACUAUUUCAAAACGAUGGAACUGCAUUACAACUUCUGAUCAUCACAUAGAACAACUCCAUUAUAAAAUAACCAUACAAAAGGCAAACAAAUAAAAAUAACACUGAUUGAAAAAAAAAAGAAAAAAAAAAGUAGCCCAAACUAGUGCAACACAAUUUGAAAGUACAUAGCAAUCCACGUGAUGUGUUAUAUAUUGAUGCCUUUCCUCAUGGUUCUCCCUCGCAUGAACACAUUCAUCCAGUGAUGUCCAGCACAACAUUCAGAGAGAGAGAGAGACGGGUUAGGUGCCCUGCUGUUCCCUCGCAUCAAAACAAAGCGCUACCACUUACGGUAAAACAAAAGAACAUGUGAUGCCUCUAAGUUUAGAUCUGCCGUUUUCGCUGUGAGCUGCACGGUUACCAUCAUAGUUCCGCUGUCCAAACCCGUUAGUGACCAGCUUCUUACCGGAGCCCAACUUGUCCACUUUUGGUAUUGUUUCUUUCAGUUGAAGAACAUAUCAAUGGGGGUGUACAACAUGGUGUUGUGGAAGUGUACCACAUUGUACCAGAUAGUAAAAAGCUCUAAAGAAAAAAAUGCUACAUAGCAUAUUGAGGAUAAGUCACGUUCCUAUUUGUUGGUCAUGGCGAAAAUUCUAUCGAUUAUAGAAAGGUGUAAAAGCAAUGUUUAGAAUGCCAGUUAUUUAUCAUACUUAAUAAUGCAAGUGCAAUGCUUGGCAUGUCAUUUUGACAAAAAUGUAAUGCAGGUGAAACUCGAAUUGACUCUCAGGACCAAAAUAACUAUUUCUGACAGUGAAAUCACAAAAAGAACGUUGAUUUCCAUUAAUCCCGCCAUCCAAAUGAAGUUAGCAUAAUUUUGCCAUCCGAAACGUAAAAGGAAAGACUGCCUUCAUCUUUAUUGCAUAAAAUCAGCAAAACAUCUUAUUUUGCAAAAACUAUAGCCAUUAUUUGACGAUUAACAUAUUGGAAUGAAACUAUCAUGUCCCACUAUGUCUGACUUUAGAGUAUUUUUGUAUUGUUAAAUUGUAGCGUUGCAUAAUUCAAAAAGGGACAACUUUGUGAAAUUAACAAUGACCGUAUAGUAACAACACUGUUUCACUCAGAAACAAAACAACAUCCAUCAUUAAAUAAGACUGACCAACCUUUUGGAUCAACUAUUAGGUUUAAAGGUCACAUUAAAAAAUAAACAUUAAAUAAAAAGGUUUCUGGCUUUUGUUUGGCUAUAUUCAGUUGAUUAUGUUGGUUUGGUUCUCACAACUUUCUGAUCCAAAAGAGUGAAAGAUAAAUAAAUAAAAUAUAAAAUGAAAUACAAUUCUUUGCAUUUCUGCAUUAUAUUAAAAACCUUAAAUUGUCCAGCGCUAUUUGAAGUAAACAUUACAAUAUUUAAGACAAAGACCCAUACGUCAAUUGUGUGUACUGGGUGAAACAUAAAUUUGGUUGCUGUUCAAUGUAUUUAUAAGAACUAAUACUUGGUCUCAAGCCUUUCUUUAUUGCACGCUGUGGACUGUAGUGGUCAAGUCAGGCAUUUCAGAGGGUCCCAGACUCAGCAUCAUUUACAAACAGUGAGUACUUCAAAUUUGACAAUUUAAACUGUAAACAAAACAUUGGUUACGUUUCUUAUUUUCAAGCCAAACCAUGGUGUCUUUAUAAACGCCAGUAAAAAGCUCAUGGAAACAUUAGAUUUUAAGAAAAACAAUCUCAUAUUUAUACCAAUAUGGUAUGGAAAAAAUCUUUUCGAUCCAUUCUUUGUUCUUAAAUAAAUAAAGCAAUUCCCACUUGACACAAAUAGAGGCACUUAUUAUUAUUAUUAUUUUUUUGUCUUAAAAGUGAAUAUUAAAUUUCACAUCCGCGUGGUCUUCCAAACACAUUCAGCCAUGGGAAAAUGGUCCAAAAGGAAACUCAUGCAUUGUUGCGCCGAAUUUACAGAGGCACAAUAGAUCUGGAUCUGAACGUGUCUCAUGCACGCGUAUCAGUACCCUCGCUCGCCGCCCCGAGACAGGAUGUCCCGCGCGACCAAUGGGAAGCGAGGACGCAGGACCAUUUCCUGUUGGAGGCAAACUAGUCGAAGGAUUGGUGCCACAAAGGAUUCAGAAGCGGAUUGGGUUUGCCGUGUGGCGCGGAACACGCGCGCGCCGGACACGCACACACAGACCCCACAGUGGCGUACGCUUCUGCAUGGAUACACGCAAACACAGGACACACACUGGAAAUAAAACAGGGGGAGAAAAUCCUUAUUGUCCUCAGAGAGAGAGAGAGAGAGAGAGAGAGAGAGAGAGAGAGAGAGAGAGAGAGAGAGAGAGAGAGAGCGGGAGAGGGGGAGAGAGACAAUACAGUCUGUACAUUAGAAUAUACAAAGAACACUUUUGUCCAGUUAGGUAACAAUUUCAUUAGACUUUGACAUCCAGUUGUAUGCAGGAGCUACAUGUAUGCACAUACACAACACUACAAACAGGGCCGCUGGGGCUGGGGUUGAGGGGAAGGGGAUUAAUAGCCGAGGCCUUUCAAUUUAUAGAGAACAAAGUCUACCCUCUCUUUAGAAACAAAAAAGAUAUGGACGAGACUUCCACCCCGUUCCCUGUGUAUACUUUUAGUCUUUUUGUGCGUUGCUGGCUUUAUUUGGAGCCAAAUUGUAGACCUCCCCCAAAAAUCCUCCUCUCCCUUCCCUUCCCCCCGCCCGACGCCUCAAAAGGUCUCCCAGCGUUAAUAGGUGCGUAACCAUGGGAACUAGAUCCUGGUGGGUCCCUGGCCGGCCUACAGCCGGUGGAAGAGGGGCUUGGAGGAAGGCCCGGCAGAGAUGGCGGAAAAGGCUUUUCCCUCUGUGGAGUGGGAGCGGCUGUGAGUGGAGAGAUGGCCGCGUCCUCGUCGGCGUCAGGGCGGCGACCAGCCCCGACGCGAGCAGACCCCGAGGAGGGUCCACUGCCAACACAUUUACAUCUGAAAGGAGAUGGGCGGAGCUUGUUGCACGCCACACUCCGCGCCAGACAAGGGCUCAGGGGACGGCCAGGGGCCCCCCCCCCUCUCACCCUUUGGCCCCUCGCCUUUUAACUAAGGUUCCUCCUGUCGCUCUGAGCGAGAAUAAUGCACUUUAACAAAUCCUGUUUUACUAGGAACCAAAGUCAUUAAACAUUAGCUUGAUCGACCGGCCCUAAUGCCUGUUAUUCUCUAUAUUAUUAGCACUUUUAUUUUGUGCUGGAAUAAUGCAAUUUAAUGUCGGUGCUAAUCUUGGAGGGUAAUCAAUCUGUAGUAUAAAUAGUUCUGUCUCUGUUGUGCUGGUCGUUCAAUGAUGGAAUACCAAAUGUGCUAGCAAAGCAUUGAUCUGUUUCCCUUUUAAUUGCUCCACUCUACCACCUCAAUAGUUGUUAGUUUGUUAAAUUGAUGCCCGGUAAUAUAUCAUCAUCUAUUUGCUGGCUUAGACUUUUCCCUAUUGGCAGGUUUGUAUUUUAGAGAUAUUAAUGCUAUUAUUUAUAUUGUGAAUGUAUUAGAGUUUUUCUCAGUCGCUUUGGUACAUUUCUCAGAUCAGAAUUGAAAUUCUCAAAACUACCUGUUCAAUCUUCACAUCAUUGUGUCACUUGUGCACAUCAAAAAAGCAGUUUCUCAUUUCUUUGAACAAGUUGCAAAUGCUUUGGUACAUUCAUGCAAAUGAUUAUGUACAAUUCUCUGCUCUUUCCUACAUUAUCAAUUGCUUAUGUCAUGUUGAUCAAAAUGUAUUGUAAUGGGUCUCUAUUGAAAAGUCUCACCCCCACAACAUUUAGGCAUUAGUUUGUUGUAUAAGUCUGUACAUGCAAAAUGGUUGAACAAGUUGUCAUAAUAUGCCAAGAAUAUUUCUAUACAUUUCCAUUAGACUUUUUUUCUAAAUCUGUCCUGAAUUAGUAAAUUGCUACCAGGUGAAUCUUGACUUUCUCUAGAGAAGGGAAAUGUGGGAAGUGUUAGAUCAACCAACGAUCUACCAGUUUACUGAAAUAGCUCAAAGAUGCAUCUCAUGAACCAUGAACUGGCAAGUAUAUAUAUAGCUGGAGCACAACACAAUGUUACAUUGUCUGACAUUUGAAGGACAAGGAAUUGGACAGGGUCAACAGCCAGAGAGAAGAAGAAGAGGAAGAGGAGUGAGGCUGCGUGAGAAUGAGAAUUUGUACUCCAACAGACGGGACGUCAGGAGGUGUAGGAAGACUGCACUGUAAUUCCUACAGCAAUGCAUGUACUUUUAGGAGAUUUUCCUAUGUUCAUAUUUCUAGCAAUGACAUGGUCUGUCAACAAAUUACAGAACAAAUAAAGCAUAAAUGUGAAUCUUUUCCAGUCUCCUGCAAUCAAUCUCCCACAUACACUAAGGUGUAACUUACAAUAAUUGUCUUCAAAAAUUUAGCCAUAGUUUACAUCAGAACAUCCCUCCAGAGUAGACUGUUAUAUUGACAACAUGACUAAGCAAUUUGACUGUCUUAUCCGUACACAAUGACACAAGGACUUGUCAUUGUGAUGGCACUGAUAUGUUCAUUGACACAGAUAUUUACUUUUGAGAAACAAACUAAGGAUUUUGAGCAAGAGAAUGGCUUUUGCAUGAAAUCCAUGGUGUUUUGCUAUUUGUACGAAUUGUUUUGAGAAAUGCACUCACUGCUUCGCAAAUUUCAAUU